rnacentral:rRNA from 1 species
AUUGAACGCUGGCGGCAUGCCUUACACAUGCAAGUCGAACGGCAGCACGGGAGCAAUCCUGGUGGCGAGUGGCGAACGGGUGAGUAAAGUAUCGGAACGUGCCCAGUCGUGGGGGAUAACGUAGCGAAAGUUACGCUAAUACCGCAUACGAUCUAUGGAUGAAAGCGGGGGAUCGCAAGACCUCGCGCGAUUGGAGCGGCCGAUAUCAGAUGAGGUAGUUGGUGGGGGAAAGGCUCACCAAGCCGACGAUCUGUAGCUGGUCUGAGAGGACGACCAGCCACACUGGGACUGAGACACGGCCCAGACUCCUACGGGGGGCGGCAGUUGGGAAUUUUGGACAAUGGGCGAAAGCCUGAUCCAGCCAUGCCGCGUGCAGGAUGAAGGCCUUCGGGUUGUAAACUGCUUUUGUACGGAACGAAAAGGUUUGGCCUAAUAAGCUGAGCUCAUGACGGUACCGUAAGAAUAAGCACCGGCUAACUACGUGCCAGCAGCCGCCGUAA